rnacentral:rRNA from 1 species
CGGACGGGUGAGUAACGCGUGGAAAACCUGCCGUAUACUGGGGGAUAACACUUAGAAAUAGGUGCUAAUACCGCAUAAGCGCACAGCUUCGCAUGAAGCAGUGUGAAAAACUCCGGUGGUAUACGAUGGUUCCGCGUCUGAUUAGCUAGUUGGUGAGGUAAAAGCCCACCAAGGCAACGAUCAGUAGCCGGCCUGAGAGGGUGAACGGCCACAUUGGGACUGAGACACGGCCCAAACUCCUACGGAAGGCAGCAG